UGGGGAAUUGUUCACAAUGGGCGCAAGCCUGAUGACGCAACGCCGCGUGGAGGAUGAAGGUCUUCGGAUUGUAAACUCCUGUUGCCCGGGACGAAAAGCUUCGACCUAACACGUCGAAGUCUGACGGUACCGGGUGAGGAAGCCCCGGCUAACUCUGUGCCAGCAGCCGCGGUAAUACAGAGGGGGCAAGCGUUGUUCGGAAUUACUGGGCGUAAAGGGCGCGUAGGCGGCGUGCUAAGUCGAACGUGAAAUCCCCGGGCUCAACCCGGGAACUGCGUCCGAGACUGGCAUGCUUGAAUCCGGGAGAGGGAUGUGGAAUUCCAGGUGUAGCGGUGAAAUGCGUAGAUAUCUGGAGGAACAUCGGUGGCGAAGGCGGCAUCCUGGACCGGUAUUGACGCUGAGGCGCGAAAGCCAGGGGAGCAAACGGG
rnacentral:rRNA from 1 species